rnacentral:rRNA from 1 species
UACGUUGGUGGCGAGCGUUGUCCGGAUUUACUGGGCGUAAAGGGAGCGUAGGCGGACUUUUAAGUGAGAUGUGAAAUACUCGGGCUCAACUUGAGUGCUGCAUUUCAAACUGGAAGUCUAGAGUGCAGGAGAGGAGAAUGGAAUUCCUAGUGUAGCGGUGAAACGCGUAGAGAUUAGGAAGAACACCAGUGGCGAAGGCGAUUCUCUGGACUGUAACUGACGCUGAGGCUCGAAAGCGUGGGGAGCAAACAGG